GAUGAACGCUAGCGGCAGGCUUAAUACAUGCAAGUCGAACGGUAAGUUUGGUAGCAAUAUCAAACCAAGAGUGACGUACGGGUGCGUAACACGUAUGCAACCUACCUUGUACAGGAGUAUAGCUCGGGGAAACUCGAAUUAACCCUCCAUGAGAUCAUAGAAUGGCAUCAUUUAGUGAUUAAAACUCAGGUGGUACAAGAUGGGCAUGCGUCUGAUUAGAGUUGGCGGGGUAAUGGCCCACCAAGACGAUGAUCAGUAGGGGACCUGAGAGGGUGAUCCCCCACACUGGCACUGAGAUACGGGCCAGACUCCUACGGGAGGCAGCAGUAGGGAUAUUGGUCAAUGGGUNAGAGCCUGAACCAGCCAUGCCGCGUGCAGGAAGAAGGCGUUAUGCGUUGUAAACUGUC
rnacentral:rRNA from 1 species